GGCUUAUUGAUAAAAGAUUUUAGGUCUAACCUGCCCCCUGAUGUAUUUAAAUGGCCGCAGUAUUUUGACUGUGCUAAGGUAGCAUAAUAAUUAGUUUUUUAAUUGAAAGCUAGAAUGAAUGGUAUUAUGAAAAAAUUACUGUCUCUUUUAAAAAAUUAAAAUUUUAUUUUUAAGUUAAAAAGCUUAAAUAUUAUUAAAAGACGAGAAGACCCUAUAGAAUUUUAUUUAAAUUAAUUUUUAAUAAGUUAGUAUAUAAAAUUUAAAAAUAAAUUUAUAUUUAGUUGGGGUGAUUAGAAAAAUUAAGUAUCUUUUUUUUAUAGAAACAUUAAUUUAUGAUUUUAUGAUUCAUACUAAUGAUUUAAGAAUAAAUUACCUUAGGGAUAACAGCGUAAUUUUUUUUUAGAGCUCUAAUCAAAAAAAAAGAUUACGACCUCGAUGUUGGAUUAAAAUUUAUUUUUGGUGUAGUGGCUAAAAUAUUAAGUCUGUUCGACUUUAAAAAUUUUACA
rnacentral:rRNA from 1 species